CCCGUAAUAUGCAUAAUCUUAAACUUAAAGUUGCAUACCAAACCAAACCAUACGCUCACACUGUAUAUUAUGUUGUGGCAUAAACUUUAGAAGAAAUUUCUACACAUUUUGCGUUGGGUACAAUGCUUCCAAAACUUUCCCAUCUGGUCCAUAUCCAUAGCAAGAGAAUUAAACGGUUUCAGCUUUAAAUUAAUUAUAAUUAAUUCGUUUCGGAGAAUUAACUUUUUCAAGAAAGAAAUAUAAAAUGGACCCCAUCCUCACAAUUUCGAUUGUCUAUUCCGUUUUCUUCGUAUUCUUUGGGAUUUGGAGUUUUAUCGAGAUGGGAAAAGAUAAGAGAGCGGCGAGGAUACCGGAUUCAGAGAUUUCCUGGCUUCUGCAUCCAAACGGAAUAAGAACUUCGGAGUGCAAAUUGCACACUUUGGAACUUCUCGGAGGAUGGUUUGGAUCCCUCAUGGGGCAAAUUUGUUUUAACCAUAAGAUCAAGAAAUGUUCUUAUCAGGUUAAGUUCUGGAUUAUCGUGAUUGCUCAUGUGGCCGGGAUUUGGUGUGUGGUUGCGAAGAGGGAGGAAAUUCGGAAUCAUUUUAAUUAUUAAAUAUAAAAGGGUUAAAUUGUUUUUUUUUAAUUUUUAGUUUGAACCUAAACACUCAACUGUAAUAAAUUAUUGCGUAAUAAUUACUCAAUAAUUAUUUCGGGUAAUUAUCUUAAUUAAUGAGAUAUUAACUUUUCAACCUUUUUUUUAAUUUCAUGUAAAAAUUGUAUUUAAUUAACUACUGGCCCUUGAUUUAUUACUAAAUUAUGUAUUCAAUAAUUAAUUAACGAAAUAAUUAAUGGUACUUAAUUCACUUCAUUAAUUUCCCAAUGAUAAUCAAAUACUUAUUUGCAAAUGUCAAUUAUUUCUAAAAAAAAUACAAGACGGGAAUAAAUAAAAAUUGUCACAUAUUAACAACACGG